rnacentral:rRNA from 1 species
GACGAACGCUGGCGGCGUGCUUAACACAUGCAAGUCGAACGAUGAAGAAAAGAAUUGAUGCUUCGGCAGAAAUUCAUUUCGGAUUAGUGGCAGACGGGUGAGUAACGCGUGAGCAACCUACCUCUUACAAAGGGAUAGCCUCGGGAAACCGGGAUUAAUACCAUAUCACAUUGCGACGAAGCAUUUCGAUGCAAUCAAAGCUACGGCGGUCAGAGAUGGGCUCGCGUCCCAUUAACCAGAUGGUGAGGUAACGGCUCACCAUAGUAACGAUGGGUAACCGGACUGAGAGGGUGAACGGUAACACUGGAACUGAGACACGGUCCAGACUCCUACGGGAAGCAGCAGUGGGGAAUAUUGCACAAUGGAGGGAACUCUGAUGCAGCGACGCCGCGUGAGUGAUGAAGGAAUUCGUUUCGUAAAACUCUGUUCUAUGGGAAGAAAAGGACGGUACCAUAGGAGAAAGCUCCGGCUAAAUACGUG